rnacentral:rRNA from 1 species
GAAACUCGCCUACAUGAAGCUGGAGUUACUAGUAAUCGCAGAUCAGAAUGCUGCGGUGAAUGCGUUCCCGGGUCUUGUACACACCGCCCGUCACACCACGGGAGUUGGAGACGCCCGAAGCCGAUUAGCUAACCUUUUGGAAGAAGUCGUCGAAGGUGGAAUCAAUAACUGGGGUGAAGUCGUAACAAGGUAGCCGUAUCGGAAGGUGCGGCUGGAUCACCUCCUUUCUAAGGAGA